rnacentral:rRNA from 1 species
UACGUAGGGUGCGAGCGUUAAUCGGAAUUACUGGGCGUAAAGCGUGCGUAGGCGGUUCGCUGUGUCUGAUGUGAAAGCCCCGGGCUCAACCUGGGAAUUGCAUUGGAAACUAGCGGGCUGGAGUGUGGCAGAGGGGGGUGGAAUUCCACGUGUAGCAGUGAAAUGCGUAGAGAUGUGGAGGAACACCGAUGGCGAAGGCAGCCCCCUGGGCUAACACUGACGCUCAUGCACGAAAGCGUGGGGAGCAAACAGG